rnacentral:lncRNA from 1 species
AAACUGUAAACUAUAAACGAUCACUCAUUUAGUAUCAAACAUAUCUUGUCUGGACUCCAAGUGGUCCAGAGAAUAAAUAGAUGCCACUAUGAGCUGUCAGUCGCCGGUUCGAAUUUUGGGUCGUGCUCUCUAUCAGCAGCCAGAGUCCGAGAGAGCAUAAUCGGCCAUGUGUUGUAGGAGGCGUGUGCUAGUCUUCACCCUCCUGGUGUUGAGGACAUUACUAAUGAUAGGAUGGGUUCCAAAUUAAGGGGAAAAUGGGAUCAAACAAAUCAGUGAAAAAUAAAUGCGCUGAAUGAACAUCUUAUCGAUACGUAUUACAAAAAAAACACAUUUUUGUGCGUGUAGAAUAUAAAACCACGAGCUAGGAAAGUUUUUUAGACCUGUAGGCUAUAUAGAGUUUUCUCCUUUACUGCCUUUAUCUCUCUGGCAAUGGUCAGCUGACCUCGUUUCUAUGUUAUCAUAUCAUAUUUUUGCAUAUAGGCAAAGAUUAUGUUCAGGGACUUAUUCAUUCUCUCUAGCUCUCUGUCCUUCAUACUGUCAUGGAGGCCUGAAAGAACUGUGUGGAGCUUCAGGAUACAUCAGAAAUACAGUAUAUUCACCAUAGGAGAAGAACAGUGGACAACACUGUUCUUGGAUGUCCAUCAAUAUGGAGAAAGAAAGGAGUACGCCAGUCGUUAACAGAAUAAAAGGAAAAACAGAUGAGAAAUACUGUUUAAAUGCCUGGCACUGUAUGCAUUUCCUGUUCUGUACACAGAGUUUAGCGCUCCAUCAGAUUCAUCAGAGCGAGCCUUCAGGACCACCUCAGUCCUUCCUCGCCCAGCAGAGGCUCCAGACCCAGAGCAGGAGGGGGUUCAUCUCCAGACCCAAACUUUAAUAAUCAGACUCAC